AUGAUGAAGCGGAAGAUGGUGAUGAGGGUGGCGCUGAAGGACAGCAGCCAGCAGCGGAAGGCGCUCAAAGCAGUCUCCAGUCUCCAUGGUAUCGACGCGAUUGCUGCGGACUUGCUGGACGGGAGGAUCACGGUCACCGGUGUCGUCGACCCCGUCGAUGUUGUGGGCAAGCUGCGAAGGUUGUUUGGGAACGCCGAGAUCGUCUCCGUCGGGCCCGCCUUCGAGGCCAAGAAGGACGGCGACAAGAAGGAGCCUCCUCGUCCUCCUCCUCCUCCUCCUCGUCCUCCUCCCAAAAUAGUGGAAUGUCCCUAUCCCUAUACCUACCCCUACCCCUUCCCCUGCCCCUAUCCUCCUCCUCCUCCUCCUCCUCCUCCUCCUCCUCCUCCUCCUCGGUACGAGUUUACAGUCGGGUUCUUGAACAGCAUCACAGACAAUUUCUCCGAGGAGCGCAUCAUUGGCCGCGGUUGGCAUGGACUAGUCUACAAGGGAGUGCAGGACAAUGGGGUAUGCAUUGCCGUGAAGAAGCUUCACCUCAUGUCGGGGCUUGACGACGAGGAAUUCAAAAACGAGUUUAAUAAUCUUAUGAGGGUCCGACAUCAAAAUACCAUACCGUUGGUUGGUUACUGUCAUCAUACAACACAGGUGCUUGUUGAGCACAAUGGAAAGCAUGUUUCUGCUCGAGUAGAAGAAAGAUAUUUUUGCUCCGAAUACAUGGAGGGAGGAAACCUUGACAAGCAUCUUUCUAAUGAACCAUGUGCACUUGCUUGGCACACAUGUUACAAAAUAAUUAGAGGGGUAUGUGAGGGUUUACAUUACCUUCACAAAGGAGUUGAGUAUCCUAUUUACCAUCUGGAAUUAAAACCUACAAAGAUUUUGCUGGAUAACUACAUGAUGCCCAAAAUUGGAGGUUUUGGCUUCUCUAGACUCUUUGAUACAACGGAAACCUUCAAUACAUCAGAAGUUGCGCAAACAAGUGUAUACAUGCCACCAGAAUACAUCAGCAAACGGCAAAUCACACCAAAAUUUGAUGUAUUCAGUCUGGGCAUUAUAAUCUUGCAAAUAAUGGCAGGAAAGGAGAGCUACACCAAAUAUGCAGACAUUCCACCCAAAGAAUUUAUUGAACAUGUAUAUGGAUUAUGGGUAAAUAGGAUGCAGGGCACAAUACCGAAGCAUACUUCAUGUGAAGUUAGAACAUGCAUCGAAAUAGCUCUAAAAUGCGUGGAGUCCAGUCAAGUGAAGAGGCCUACUAUAAAUCAGAUCAUACAAAGACUGAACAAGAUUGAUAUUGUUGAGUGCUCAUCUAUAGGUGAACUAUAUAGGACAAGGGAGUUUGCAUUUGAGUUCUUAGAACAUAUUACAAAUGACUUUUCUGACCAGAACAAAGUUGGCAGUGGUGGAUAUGGAGAUAUUUAUAAGGGGGUGCUAGACAAUGGAGAAGAGAUUGCUGUUAAGAAACUUCAUCAUCAUCAAAUGUUGUACAUUACUGACAAGCAAUUUAAGAAUGAGGUUAUUAAUCUAAUGAGGGCCCAACACGAAAAUAUCGUACGAUUAGUUGGCUACUGCCAUCAUACAUCACAAAUAUUUGUUGAGUACGAAGGAAAACAUGUAUCUGCUAGUGUGGUAGAAAGAGCAAUUUGUUUCGAAUACAUGCAAGGUGGAAGCCUUGACGAUCAACUUUCAGCUGAAUCCUGCAAACUUGAUUGGGACAAAUGUUACAGAAUAAUAAAAGGAAUAUGUGAGGGUUUACAUUACCUUCAUAAUUCUGUUAAUCCCAUUUACCAUCUGGACUUAAAACCAGCAAAUAUUUUGUUGGAUAAGGAUAUAGUGGCAAAAAUUUGUGAUUUUGGCUUGUCAAGACUCUUUGAUUCAGCGCAAACCUAUAUCACAGCAUCCCGAGAUCUUAAAGGAACAUUUGGAUACAUGCCGCCAGAAUACAUCAACGGACAAAUAAUCAGUCCGAAGUUUGAUGUAUUUAGUCUCGGGGUCAUAAUCAUACAAAUAAUGGCAGGAAAGGAGGGCUACUUCAAUUGUCAAGACACCCAUCCGAAAGAUUUUAUUGAGCAUGUGCAUGAAAAGUGGCGAGUGAGGCUGCAGGCAACAAUGUCGUCCCAUGUAUCUGAAGAAGUGAGGACAUGCAUCGAAAUAGCAUUAAAAUGUGUGGAGUAUGACCGAAAUCAAAGGCCUAAGAUAGCCCAGAUUGUUAAUGAAUUAAGUAACAUUGGUAUUGCUAAGAGUUCACCAGUAGGUCAGGUGCAGGCAACAAUAUCGCCCCAUGUAUCCGAAGAAGUGAGGACAUGCAUCGAAAUAGUGUUAAAAUGUGUGGAGGAUGACAGCACGCGAAGGCCUACAAUAGCCCAGAUUAUUAAUGAACUAAGUAAGAUUGGUAUUGCUAAAGGUUCACCCAUCAGCCAGAUUUCCCAAGCUACUUUUUCCGGCCCGCAACAGAUGCCACAACCGGAACAAGGAGGAAGCCAUCGGGCAAACAAGCUGAGUGGAAGCGGAUAUCAUGCCGUCGCCAAGCGUGCAGAAGCUGAACGUGCGGAAGUGGAACGGAAAACUGAAGCUGAAGAAGAACAUAAAACUGAAGCUGAAGAGGAACGUGAACUGAAGAUGAAGGGCGCUGCCGAAAUUGAAGCUGAACCCUGCAACACAAGUUCAGAAGUGGUGACACCGCCGGAAGCAGGAGAACAAGAGGGCGGGUCCCGCGAGUCAGCCAGACUUCAUGCCCCCUCUAAGCGAUAUGCUGGCAAUGACUGGGUCCGGUAUUAG
rnacentral:rRNA from 1 species